rnacentral:tRNA from 1 species
GUGGGUGUCGCCAAGUGGUCACGGCAUCGGAUUGUGAUUCCGACAUUCGUGGGUUCAAAUCCCAUCAUCCACC